UUCCGGUUGAUCCUGCCGGACCUGACUGCUAUCGGAUUGAUACUAAGCCAUGCGAGUCAUUGUAGCAAUACAAGGCAGACGGCUCAGUAACGCGUAGUCAACCUACCCUAUGGACGGGAAUAACCUCGGGAAACUGAGUAUAAUGCCCGAUAGAACACUAUACCUGGAAUGGUUUGUGUUUCAAAUGAUUUAUUGCCAUAGGAUGGGACUGCGGCCUAUCAGUUUGUUGGUGAGGUAAUGGCCCACCAAGACUAUUACAGGUACGGGCUCUGAGAGGAGUGGCCCGGAGAUGGGUACUGAGACACGGACCCAGGUCCUAUGGGGCGCAGCAGGCGAGAAAACUUUGCAAUGUGCGAAAGCACGACAAGGUUAAUCCGAGUGGUUUCUGCUAAAGGAACCUUUUGUUAGUCCUAGAAACACUAACGAAUAAGGGGUGGGCCAAGUUCUGGUGUCAGCCGCCGCGGUAAAACCAGCACCUCAAGUGGUCAGGAUGAUUAUUGGGCCUAAAGCAUCCGUAGCCGGCUCAGUAAGUUUUCGGUUAAAUCUGUACGCUUAACGUACAGGCUGCCGGGAAUACUGCAGAGCUAGGGAGUGGGAGAGGUAGACGGUACUCGGGAGGAAGUGGUAAAAUGCUUUGAUCUUUCGAUGACCACCUGUGGCGAGAGGCGGUCUACCAGAACACGUCCGACGGUGAGGGAUGAAAGCUGGGGGAGCAAACCGGAUUAGAUACCCGGGUAGUCCCAGCUGUAAACUAUGCAAACUCAGUGAUGCAUUGGCUUGUGGCCAGUGCAGUGCCGCAGGGAAGCCGUUAAGUUUGCCUGCCUGGGAAGUACGUACGCAAGUAUGAAACUUAAAGGAAUUGGCGGGGGAGCACCACAAGGGGUGAAGCCUGCGGUUCAAUUGGAUUCAACGCCGGG
rnacentral:rRNA from 1 species